GCUAACAAAAAGCUCAAUCUCCUUCUCUUCCGACAGAGAAAUUGCUUUCCCAUGGCGACGAGAGCAGAGCCUGGCGAUUCCUGACGACGUUUACUGCCGAACAUUCUCGCUAACUCCUAGGGUUCCGAAAGAAUCCUCUUCAUCCUGUUGCUCUUUCUGCUGCCUUGUGUCAGAUUCCGGUGGCAUUCUCCAGCAGAAAGGGAGCAGGAAACGGGCGGGAAAUGUCAUGCAUUUGAUCUUCAUAUCUUAGAUGAGAAGUCUAGAAGCUUCUUACUGAGGAUUUUUUCAACGUCUUCUGCUUUUUGGAACUUCAAAUCUGGUGGUUUUUCUUGCUUUGAGGUUACCUUGUGGAGCAAUUUUUAGGGUUUUGUAGCUGCAUUGCUCGGUUUUCGCCUGUUUCCGCGAGAAAUCUCAUUUUGAAGGCAAAUGCGAGAGGUUUUGUCCUGUUUUUACUCAGAAGAAAAUGAGUAGUAGGAAGGAAGAGGAGCGGAACGAGAAGAUCACCAAAGGUUUGAUGAAACUUCCUCCGAACCAAAAAUGCAUCAACAGCUGGAACAAGAAGAUCAACAGCCGCAUGCACUCCACUUUGGAGGAACGAGCCGCCUUGUAAGCUGUUGUUGUGCAAUGCAUGUGGAUCAAGAUGGCGGACCAAGGGCACACUUGAGAACUACGUUCCACUGCAUUCCCUAAGAUUUGCACCCAUUGAUUCCGAAGAUAGCAGGAACUCUCAAGAGCCUAAAUUUUCGCCUAAGAGAAAGUCAAAAACCUUGCACAAAGUAAAUCGGAGUGAAGGCGAGAGAGAGGUUGGAGAGAUGAUACCAGAACAAUGCCUGCAGAAAGCAGUUUUCAAAGAUGAUACGAGCAAUAGAUCCUGUUCAGGAUCUGUAAUAUCAUUCUCCGAGAGCUGUGUUCAUCUGGGAAGCAUGGAUGGAAACGACAUCUCAGGUUAACCCCGAUGGUUUUACUUAGCAAAAUUAACAUGACAAGAUUUGGUUAGUGUUUGGCUUUUUUUUUUUUGCCCCCUGCUUUAUUUGCUUUGUUGAUUCAAGUAAUAGUUGCGUCGAGGCAGUAAAUUGCAUUGGAAGGCAAUGACUAUAGAUUCUGACUCCACAAUGCCUUGGGGUAUUUUAGGCUGUGUUUGAAUGCUCAAUUCAAUCAAACUUCUAAUUACGGGUGUGCGCCAUAUAUUUUCUUUCUUUCUUUCUUUAUUUUUUCUUUAUUUAUUGUUCUUCUUCAUUGUAAAUAGGUCUGAUACAAAAGUCCUAGCUUUGUUCCUUUUGAAAAAUCUUGUGCACCGGCAAGCCGGACCACAUCUUGUUAAUGGGUGGGAUUUGAAUUUGCAAAAUAAUGCUUAUUUCA